GGUUAAGCGACUAAGCGUACACGGUGGAUGCCCUGGCAGUCAGAGGCGAUGAAGGACGUGCUAAUCUGCGAUAAGCGUCGGUGAGGUGAUAUGAACCGUUAUAACCGGCGAUUUCCGAAUGGGGAAACCCAGUGUGUUUCGACACACUAUCAUUAACUGAAUCCAUAGGUUAAUGAGGCGAACCGGGGGAACUGAAACAUCUAAGUACCCCGAGGAAAAGAAAUCAACCGAGAUUCCCCCAGUAGCGGCGAGCGAACGGGGAGGAGCCCAGAGCCUGAAUCAGUGUGUGUGUUAGUGGAAGCGUCUGGAAAGGCGCGCGAUACAGGGUGACAGCCCCGUACACAAAAAUGCACAUAUUGUGAGCUCGAUGAGUAGGGCGGGACA
rnacentral:rRNA from 1 species